CUUCAAAUAUCUUGUAGAGAAUUAUUUUUCCUUCAUAGCCCUUUUAGCCAUGAAUCACAAAACAUUCUCUUUAUUUUUCAUAGCCUUUUUUGUCUUAAUUUUCUGUCUAUCCUCAGCAAACUCCAGGAGAUUGUCAGGAGAAGAUGGAAAAGUCCCUCAAGGAAGUAUACCCUAUGAUCCAUUACAUAAAAAACCAAUAUGCAAGAAAAAUAUAAUUGGCAAAUGUAUAGCCACCAAAAAGCCACCACAUGUUGAAAAACCCUGCAAGAGUUUUACCAAUUGUCAUAAAAUGAAACCAUAGAAGCAAAGGGAGGAGUGUUAAAAUAAAAAUAAACUAUGCUCUUGUUUUUUAUAUGAAUUGCACUAUAUACACUAUGUGUGGGAAUAAAAUUAUGGUCGUGCUCUAUAUGUUAUCGGUUUGAGGCAGUAAAAGUAACAACUGAUGUUUGUAUUCAGAUAUAUUGUCUCAUCACACGCUUUAAGGUGUGGUCUGUCUCCAGACCUGCGAAUGCAGGAUGCUCUCUGUGCACUGAAUUGUAUCUUUUUUAUGAUUAAUUUAUAAUUGUACUAUUACUAUUGAUAUUCUGCAUGAUGUACUACUCUACUCGAUACUUUGCAUCAAUGUGUAUGAAAUAUUAUUAAUACAUAUGGAUUAAGUAUAUAUGCUAUUUCGAAAAA